rnacentral:lncRNA from 1 species
GCGUGCUGUUCCUUCACUGGUAGUUGUCUGUCUUCUACUGCACAUCAUUGUCAAGUGCUUAACAAUUAGUUAAUUAAAUAUAGUUCUGGGAUAACUUCAGAGAAAUUAUUUUACAGCACAGCAGGUGGAAGAAAGUGCUGCCUGUUAACAAUUUGUCUGUCAGAGUAACAGCUGGCAAGCAAAGGGCCUGAAGCAAAAACCACUCAUCCAGGUGCAAAUACAGCGGGACCAGGCUCCUGUACACCUCCUUCCUCAUCUUCCUCUUUUCUGUGCCCUUCACAAAGCUCAGCGUUUUGAGGAAGAGGUGGAUGGAGAGCUGCCACAUCCUGCUGGACUCCUGUGGAGGAGGAGGGAAGGAUGUCAGUGUCAGCAGCUCCAAGCCCAAGGUGAGCAGGGCCAGCACCGCCAACCACAUGGGAGCAGAAUCUCUGAGCUGAGAGGCUGCAGGCAGAUCUUGAGGAUGGCCCCAAAACUGCUCCAAAGUGCACAAGCUCUGCCCUGCAGGGAGUCUGCCCAGGGACACACAGAGCCUGGAACAGGCGACCAGCCAGGAAGUUCCCUGGUGUGCUGUCACAGGGCAGCAGGCAUGGGCACACUGGGG